CUGCAAACCGACUCAGGUGGACGGGGUGAAUAUCCCAAGGCGCGUGAGAGAACCCUGGUUAAGGAACUCUGCAAAUUUACACCGUAACUUCGGGAGAAGGUGUGCCGCUGGCGGUUAGUGACUCCGCGUCACGAAGCUGUUGGCGGUCGCAGUGAAAUGGCGGUUGUGACUGUUUACUAAAAACACAGGACUCUGCGAAGUCGUAAGACGACGUAUAGGGUCUGAUGCCUGCCCGGUGCUGGAAGGUUAAGGGGAUAUGUCAGCGCAAGCGAAGCAUUGAACCGAAGCCCCAGUAAACGGCGGCCGUAACAAUAACGGUCCUAAGGUAGCGAAAUUCCUUGUCGGGUAAGUUCCGACCUGCACGAGGGCAUAACAACAUCCGCACUGUCUCGACCAGGGACUCAGCGAAAUUACAUUGGGGGUGAAGAUGCCCUCUACCCGCGGAAAGACGGAAAGACCCCAUGAACCUUUACUGCAACUUGGCAGUGAUUUUCGGGUUGUUCUGCGUAGGAUAGGUGGGAGGCUUUGAAGUCGGGAUUCCGGUUUCGACAGAGCCAACGUUGAAAUACCACCCUGAAUAAUCUGGAAAUCUAACCUGCGCCCAUGAUCUGGGCGAGGGACACUGCCUGGUGGGCAGUUUGACUGGGGCGGUCGCCUCCUAAAUUGUAACGGAGGCGUGCGACGGUUCCCUCAGGCUGAUUGGAAACCAGCCGUAGAGUGCAAACGCAUAAGGGAGCUUUACUGCGAGACUGACAAGUCGACCAGUUGCGAAAGCAGGUGUUAGUGAUCCGGUGGUACCACAUGGAAGGGCCAUCGCUCAUCGGAUAAAAGGUACUCUGGGGAUAACAGGCUGAUCGCGCCUGAGAGUUCACAUCGGCGGCGCGGUUUGGCACCUCGAUGUCGGCUCAUCGCAUCCUGGGGCUGGAGCAGGUCCCAAGGGUUUGGCUGUUCGCCAAUUAAAGCGGUACGCGAGCUGGGUUUAAAACGUCGUGAGACAGUUUGGUCCCUAUCUUCCGUGGGCGCAGGACACUUGAGAGGAGCUAUCCAUAGUACGAGAGGACCUGGACGGACGAACCUCUGGUGCUCCGGUUGUCACGCCAGUGGCAUAGCCGGGUAGCCAUGUUCGGAACAGAUAACCGCUGAAGGCAUAUAAGCGGGAAGCUGGCCUCAAGACAAGGUGUCCCUGACGCAAGUCACUAAGGGCCCCUCGAAGACUACGAGGUUGAUAGGCUAGGUGUGGAAGCACAGCGAUGUGCGGAGCUAACUAGUACUAAUAGGCCGUGCGACUUGACCCC
rnacentral:rRNA from 1 species